CACCUCUUCCCAUUCCGAACAGAGAAGUUAAGCCCAAUAGCGCCGAUGGUACUGCAUAUUUUGUGGGAGAGUAGGUAGCCGCCGUUC
rnacentral:rRNA from 1 species